rnacentral:lncRNA from 1 species
GCAAUUCUCCUGCCUCAGCCUCCUGAGUAGCUGGAAUUACAGAGAUGGGGUCUAGCUGUGUUGCCCAGGCUGAAGUCCAGUGGCUUUUCACAGGCACAGUCAUACCACACUGAAUCUUGAACUCCUGAGAUCAAGCAAUCCUCCUGCCUCAGCUUCCAAAGUAGCUGGAAUUACAAGUGCUGGCCACUCUGCCUGGUUACAAUUCUUUUUAUUGCUGAAUAAUAUUCCAUUAUGUGGAUAUCCUAUACUUUGCUUAUCUAUUCAUCAGUUGAUGGACAUUUGGGUUGUUUCUACUGUUUGGCUAUUAUUAACACUGCUGUGAACAUG